rnacentral:lncRNA from 10 species
AUAGCAGUGCUGAUUUGCUUUACUUUUAUGCUUCAUCUCUUAGGUCCAGCCAAAGCCUCCUGAAUGAAAACACGAAAAUCCACGUUAGAAAACCUCAGACAUUGAAGUUUUGUUUAGAAAUGGAAAAAACAAAAAGGCAUUUUGGUCGUGUGAGUGAUAAAAUUGAGCAAUGGGCGACAGAGUAGAGUUAUAAAGUUUCACUUGGGUUGUCUUCAUCCAUUUUCUUUCUUUUCAGGUAUCUUUGGGACUGUUUCUACUUUUUCUUUUUCUCUUUCUUUCUUUCUUUUCUUUUCUUUUCUUUUUUUUUUUUUUUUGCAGACAGAGUCUCAUUCUGUUGCCCAGGCUGGAGUGCAGUGGCAUGAUCUUGACUCACUGCAGCCUCAACCCCCUGGACUCAACUGAUCCUCCCACCUCAGCCUCCCAAGUAGCUGGGACUACAGAUGUACACCACCACGCCCGGCUAAUUUUUUGUAUUUUUUGUAGAGAUGAGGUUUUGCCAUGUGGCACAGGCUGGUUUUGAACUCCUGGACUCAAGCAAUCCCCCUGCCUCAGCCUCCCAAAGUGCUGGGAUUAUAGGCGUGAGCCACUGCACCAGUCCAUGUUUCUAAUUCUUGGUUAACAAUGAAAUUUGGGGCAGUUACUUUCCAGAUUGCUACUGAAGAUGUCACCCCAAUAAAGGGCAGAUGUUAUUGUGAACUCAACAAGGACACAGAUAUCACGAACAGUUUGCUAAUAAUAAUUUCCCCCAGUUUAUCUUUGAGCAAAAAAAUAUGUCUCUGGAUAUUUUAUAUUUACCGGGGGAAAAAAACUAAGAACCUUUGGGGGUAAAUGUUGUUUUUUAAAAUAUUAUUAUUAUUUCCUAUGGAUAAAUUUGCUUACAAACUACAUCAUGCAAUACUUUGGAGUGUUUCUGGGGAACUCUGGGAAACAUCUCUGGAAAGACCACACUUCCAUCCAGAAUGGAUAACUCAAUCUGGGGAAAGUCAGCUGCCAUUUAUGAACAGCCCUAUGGAGAGGCCCUCAAAGUCAAGGGACUGUAGUGUCUGACAGGAGCCAUGUGAGUGGGCUCAGAAGCAGACUCUCCAGUCGCAGUCAAGCCUACGAUGACUGCAGCCCCAACCAACAACUGAAUAACCACGUCAUGAUAGAUACUGAGCCAGAAUCACCCAGCUAAGCUGCUCUCAAAUUCCUGAUCACAGAAAGUGUGAGAUAAUAAAUGUUUGUUAUCUAAA